AAUAUAUCGGACAUUUCUUCAGUGUUGUCGGGCCAUAAUCCUGGAAUUCCCUCCCUGACAGCAAUGUGGGUCAACCGACAGCACAUGGAUUGCAGCGAUUCAACAAGGCAGCUCACCACCACCUUCUCAAAGGGGGGCAACGAGGGAGAGGGACUGCGUUGCCCAUGUCCCACGCGUGAAUAAAUAACUCCCUAUGGAGUAGGCCUGCCUGUCAUCAUUCACCAAACAUAGCACCCUGUUUGUUGUAAAUAAUUUAAGUUCAGUUCAUUUUUAGAAUAGGGAAGUGAGAAACAAGCUCAGUCAUGGCGAAACUGAAUGGCUAAUGAAAUCGUGCCGAACAGAGACAAACGGGUGUUGUUGGGAGAAGGAAACCGGCCAUCCUUACAAAGCAUGGAACUCUGUGUGACUCCAAACCAAAAGUGCGGGCCAUUUCUACAAACCGCCUUCUGAAGGGGCCGAUGAUGACAGUCCAAUCCAUUGACAGGCUCAGACCCAGGAGGAGUGGGCUUCUUGUGAAGAGAAGAUGGAAAGGCUGGAGACAUGAUGAAGCAGUGUUACCGUCAUUGAAUCUGCUCACUACCAACAUGCUGGUGGUUACUAUUGACUAGAAACUCAACUGGAUUCACCAUGUCCAUACAGCAGUGACAAGAGAUGGUCAGAGCCUGGGAUCCUGCAGCAACCAACUUACCUCCUGAGUUCCCCAAAGCCUGCCACCAUCAAAAGGCAGAAGUCAGGAGUGUUAUGGAAUACUCCCCACCAGGCUGGAUGAGUGUGGCCCCAACAACACUCAAAAAGCUCAACAACAUCCAGGGGCAAUGCAGCCCCUGCUUGAUGGGCAGCACAUUCAUAAACAUCCACUUCCUUCCACCACUGAUGCUCAGCAGCAGCAGUGUGUACUAUCUACAAGAUGCACUGCAUAAACUCACCAAAAAUUCUCAGACAGCACCUUCCAAACCCAACAGCACUUCCAUCUAGGAGGAUAAGAGCGGCAGAUAUAUGGGAACAUCACCACCUGCAAGUUCCCUCUGAGCCACUCACCAUUCUGACUUGGAAAUAUAUCAGCCGUUCGUUCGGUGUCACUGGAUCAGAAUCCUGGAAUUCGAUCCCUGAGGGCAUUGUAGGUCUACCUCCAGCACAUUGACUGGAGCCACUCAAGAAGGCAACUCAUUGUCACCUUCCCAAAGGAGACAUCUAGGGACGGAGCAAUAAAUACUGGGCCCAGCCAGCAAUGCCCAACUUUCUUAUUAUGGAACUGAAGCCAAGAACUGAAGUUAAUGCCCAUUAAUAUUUAUCAUAACGAUUAUCACAGCUAGUUCUGAUGUGUAUGAGGCACCAUUUAAUCAUUUUGUCCUGUCAAAACCAGACAGAACCAUGCAUUUUCCACAUUCUUGUUCUGAUUUAUAUUGUGUGUACGGUCAGUGCCAUUAUCUGCCAGGGCCAUGACCUUGAAUUUUGCUGCUGAAUUUGUAACGUGGGAGUUUAACUUUAGAUUCCAAAAUCUUUUUAACUAAAUGAACUGUAACAAUUCCAUUAAAACCUUCA